CUGAAGUUUCUCUAAAACCCGGCAAGGCAUCCGUCUCAGUGGGGCAGUGACCCCUAAACCAGUGAUUACCGAAUAUAGCUGCGAAACCCGUGUUGGCUGCAGUGUCAGUGUAAAUGCAGGGUGAGGAGUCAGAGAGAGGGGGAAUAAACAUGGAGAUACCGUUCCACUCUGUCAAAAAACAUCCCCCACAUGAGUAGGUCAGCUUUGGCAUGAUGGUCAAACACAAUUGGACAGGACGUCCGGUACCCCGUGAAGCAGACAAAGAAGCCAGGUUACAAAAGACCUUCCCUGCGGAAUGAUGUGCAUCACGAAAUUCAGGGACCCCAAUAAGGACUGAAG